GACGUAGGGCGCGAGCGUUGUCCGGAUUUAUUGGGCGUAAAGAGCUCGUAGGCGGCUUGUCGCGUCGACUGUGAAAUCCCGCGGCUCAACUGCGGGUCUGCAGUCGAUACGGGCAGGCUAGAGUUCGGUAGGGGAGACUGGAAUUCCUGGUGUAGCGGUGAAAUGCGCAGAUAUCAGGAGGAACACCGAUGGCGAAGGCAGGUCUCUGGGCUGACACUGACGCUCAUGCACGAAAGCGUGGGGAGCAAACAGG
rnacentral:rRNA from 1 species